rnacentral:rRNA from 1 species
AUUGAACGCUGGCGGCAGGCCUAACACAUGCAAGUCGAGCGAGUGGCGGACGGGUGAGUAAUGUCUGGGAAUCUGCCUGAUGGAGGGGGAUAACUACUGGAAACGGUAGCUAAUACCGCAUACCAUCAGAUGAUCCCAUAUGGGAUUAGCUUGUAGGUGGGGUAACGUCUCACCUAGGCGACGAUCCCUAGCUGGUCUGAGAGGAUGACCAGCCACACUGGAACUGAGACACGGCCCAGACUCCGACGGGAGGCAGCAGUGGGGAAUAUUGCACAAUGGGCGCAAGCCUGAUGCAGCCAUGCCGCGUGUAUGAAGAAGGCCUUCGGGUUGUAAAGUACUUUCAGCGGGGAGGCGUUACCCGCAGAAGAAGCACCGGCUAACUCCGUGCCAGCAGCCGCGGUAAUUC